GACGAACGCUGGCGGCGUGCUUAACACAUGCAAGUCGAGCGAUCGGCCUUGGAGGGGUAACCCUCCUUGGUACGGAGCGGCGAACGGGUGAGUAACACGUGGGCAACCUGCCCCAGGCUCUGGAACAACCCCCGGAAACGGGGGCUAAUGCCGGAUAUUCUCGGGAUCCCGCAUGAGGACCCGAGGAAAGGGUUACCGGCCUGGGAUGGGCCCGCGGCCUAUCAGCUAGUUGGGGGGGUAACGGCCUACCAAGGCGACGACGGGUAGCGGGCGUGAGAGCGCGGCCAGCCACACUGGGACUGAGACACGGCCCAGACUCCUACGGGAGGCAGCAGUGGGGAAUCUUGCACAAUGGGCGAAAGCCUGACGGAGCGACACCGCGUGAAGGAUGAAGUCUUUUUUAGAUGUAAACUUCUGUUCUGAGGGACGAAAUUUUUGACGGUACCUCAGGAGAAAGCACCGGCUAAUUCUGUGCCAGCCGCCGCCGUAAUAC
rnacentral:rRNA from 1 species